rnacentral:rRNA from 1 species
GAUGAACGCUGGCGGCGUGCCUAAUACAUGCCAGUCGAGCGAACGGACGAGAAGCUUGCUUCUCUGAUGUUAGCGGCGGACGGGUGAGUAACACGUGGAUAGCCUACCUAUAAGACUGGGAUAACUUCGGGAAACCGUAGCUAAUACCGGAUAAUAUUUUGAACCGCAUGGUUCAAAAGUGAAAGACGGUCUUGCUGUCACUUAUAGAUGGAUCCGCGCUGCAUUAGCUAGUUGGUAAGGUAACGGCUUACCAAGGCAACGAUGCAUAGCCGACCUGAGAGGGUGAUCGGCCACACUGGAACUGAGACACGGUCCAGACUCCUACGGGAGGCAGCAGUAGGGAAUCUUCCGCAAUGGGCGAAAGCCUGACGGAGCAACGCCGCGUGAGUGAUGAAGGUCUUCGGAUCGUAAAACUCUGUUAUUAGGGAAGAACAUAUGUGUAAGUAACUGUGCACAUCUUGACGGUACCUAAUCAGAAAGCCACGGCUAACUACGUG